AAAGUCGUAACAAGGUAACCGUAGGUGAACCUGCGGUUGGAUCAUUAAUAAAUUCUAGAGCAGUUGCUGAUUUGAGUAAAAUCAUGAAGCCUCUGUUUCUUAACAAUUUGUGAAUCGUUUAUUGUCUCUUGUGGAUGAUGGCUCUCGAGUGCUGUGCACUCGCAAAGUCUCUCCACAUGUGAAUCUUAACAUUGUAAUAUAACUAUUUGUCUUGAAACUUUAAACCUAAAAAUUAAAAACAACUUUUGACAACGGAUCUCUAGGCUCUC
rnacentral:misc_RNA from 1 species